CUGAAGGUGGUGAAAGCUGAAGUAAUUUGCUUAUCCCCAGAACAGGUAUAGGACUGCUCUAAGAAAGUUCCUCACUUCUGAGCUCCGGCACCACCUGUAGGGAUGAAAGGGCACUCCAGGACCCAGGUCCAUUCAGAGUUUGGCUUCC
rnacentral:sRNA from 1 species